rnacentral:rRNA from 1 species
CCCAGACUCCUACGGGAGGCAGCAGUGGGGGAUAUUGCACAAUGGGGGAAACCCUGACGCAGCAACGCCGCGUGAGUGAGGAAGUAUCUCGGUAUGUAAAGCUCUAUCAGCGGGGAAGAAAGAGGACGGUACCCGACUAAGAAGCCCCGGCUAACUACGUGCCAGCAGCCGCGGUAAUACGUAGGGGGCGAGCGUUAUCCGGAUUUACUGGGUGUAAAGGGAGCGUAGACGGCGUCGCAAGCCAGGAGUGAAAGCCCGGGGCCCAACCCCGGGACUGCUCUUGGAACUGCGCGGCUGGAGUGCAGGAGGGGCAGGCGGAAUUCCUGGUGUAGCGGUGAAAUGCGUAGAUAUCAGGAGGAACACCGGUGGCGAAGGCGGCCUGCUGGACUGCGACUGACGUCGAGGCCCGAAAGCGUGGGGAGCAAACAGGAUUAGAUACCCUUGUA